AAACCCGAUUUUGAAGAUUUCAAUUACAAUUUCACCAAUGUUUCAAAUGGUGCGGAGGAUUACUUCAACUACACAGAUAAUUCUGGAUGGCGGCUGAGUUAUAACGGGACUAUAUUUGACAUUUAUAGAGGGACAAUGAUAGCAAAAGUGAGUUUUUGUCAUGGUUACAACAUUUACAAAGGCUGUGAAUCAUGGGAGCAGCCCAUUUGUACAAAUCAUAACGAGACAUUUGUUUUGAAAUCAGGGAAUUUCGGUAACAGUAAUGGGAGCCUGCCAUAUGAUUAUAGCGAUAAUAAUUCAAGUCUUACUGAGAGUGACUGCGGAGCAAACUACUGGAAGGACUGUGAAUGUGUAGGCUAUAGAGGUGAAGAUGGAUCUGGAUGUUUAUACUGGAAAGGGAAAAUUUUGACUUUUGAACAGAGUCUUGAUGGUUCUGCACCUAAACAAUUCGUUCUUGUUUUAGAGCCUUCGACCAAAAGUAAGUUCAUAUCACCAAAUCAAGAAUUUUUCAACAUAUCCACCCAUUACCUUACCUCAAUUCCUCUGUUUGGGGUUCAGAAUCUCCCCCCCCCCAACCCCACACUUUUUUUUUAAAUAAACAUCUUUUUAUUGAGUUUUGAUUUUUUGCAAAAGAAAUUUCUUCUGACUAAAUAUGUUGAAGAUAUAUAAAGCAAUAUGCAGGUCAAUAAAUGUAUUUCCCUUUUCCUCUAUUUUUGACGUCCGAUAGAACUGCUGGAAAGACUUUGAAUGUGCAGGCUUUAUCGAUAGAUAUGACCAUAGUUGUUUAUACUAGAAAGAGAAAAAUUUUACUUUUGUACAGAGUUUUGAUGGUUCUGCACCUAAACAAUUAUUUCUUGUUUCAGUGUCUUCAAACAAGACAGAGCUCCCAACCAAAAGUAAGUUCAUAUCACCAAAUCAAGAAUUUUUCAACAUAUGCACACAUUCCCUUAAUUCAAUUCCUCUGUUUGGGUUCAAAAUCCUUGUUUUCUAAAAAUAAAUUUGAAGAUAUAUAAAGCGAUUUGUGGGUCAAUAGAUGUUCUGCCCUUUUCCUCUAUUCUUUACAUCCCAUAGAAGCAUUUCUCUCUCAGCAAUGUGUUUACUAUCAUCAAAUGAUAAAUAACAGGAUGGAAGUCGUGGAAAAUCAUUACUUUGGUUAUUUCGGUAGUUGCACUUUUGUUGGGCUGUGUAUGGUUCAUCAUCCGAAAAAUUGAACAAGGUAUCUUUCUGAUCACUUGUAGCUUUGAAAAACCUUCUUCGUAUUCCAUACAAAUAAAAUACCGAUAACAAAAAUUGACAAGCUGGAGAAGAAAAGAUUGUAAAGAAAGCUCUAUGUGUUUCUUAUUUGAUGUUAUGUUGAUAUUUUUUUUCAUACAAUUUCACUUCAACAGAAUGAUUGGAAAUAUGAUUACAAAAUACAGUAAGAUUCAUUUCAAGAGUUAUAGUUACACUGUCAUUUUUUAUGUGGUGAGUAUUGCAAUUGUUAUAAUAUGUCGCUCAUAUAGAAUAGAACACAUAUGUAUUGGAAUCGAUAGGGUCACGUUGGAGCAUAGCAGAGUGAAGUGAGGAGAGUGGAUAUAUAACAAGUGGAAGUGUUAAAACAAUAUCUCUACAUGGUGCGUUUUGUAAAUAUCAUUGAGAAUUUUAAUAUCUCCAUUGCUUGCUUAUUUUGAUAUUUCUAGUUUUUCUAAUUCUAAUUCUCCUAAUGAUAUUCAUUGGCAUUCUUAUGUUGACACUUUGGAUGUUCAUCUCAUAGGCAAAAGGAAGAAGGAAGAAUUACAUGAACUGAUGACCCUAGAUGAAUAUAGUGAAACACGUGCUGUUGAAAGUAAUAGGGGACAGGGUCAUCAUCUUAGAUUGUUUAU
rnacentral:sRNA from 1 species